rnacentral:rRNA from 1 species
UACGAAGGGGGCUAGCGUUGCUCGGAAUCACUGGGCGUAAAGCGCACGUAGGCGGCUUUCUAAGUCAGGGGUGAAAUCCUGGAGCUCAACCCCAGAACUGCCUUUGAUACUGGAGAGCUCGAGUCCGGAAGAGGUGAGUGGAACUCCGAGUGUAGAGGUGAAAUUCGUAGAUAUUCGCAAGAACACCAGUGGCGAAGGCGGCUCACUGGCCCGGUACUGACGCUGAGGUGCGAAAGCGUGGGGAGCAAACAGG